UUAUCGGAGAGUUUGAUCCUGGCUCAGGACGAACGCUGGCGGCGUGCCUAAUACAUGCAAGUCGAGCGGAUUGAUGGGAGCUUGCUCCCAUCAAUCAGCGGCGGACGGGUGAGUAACACGUGGGUAACCUGCCUGUAAGACUGGGAUAACUCCGGGAAACCGGGGCUAAUACCGGAUAACUCAUUUCCUCGCAUGAGGAAAUGUUGAAAGGUGGCUUUUAGCUAUCACUUACAGAUGGACCCGCGGCGCAUUAGCUA
rnacentral:rRNA from 1 species